UGGGGAAUAUUGGACAAUGGGGGCAACCCUGAUCCAGCAAUGCCGCGUGUGUGAAGAAGGUCUUCGGAUUGUAAAGCACUUUCGACGGGGACGAUGAUGACGGUACCCGUAGAAGAAGCCCCGGCUAACUUCGUGCCAGCAGCCGCGGUAAUACGAAGGGGGCUAGCGUUGCUCGGAAUGACUGGGCGUAAAGGGCGUGUAGGCGGUUUACACAGUCAGAUGUGAAAUCCCCGGGCUUAACCUGGGAGCUGCAUUUGAUACGUGUAGACUAGAGUGUGAGAGAGGGUUGUGGAAUUCCCAGUGUAGAGGUGAAAUUCGUAGAUAUUGGGAAGAACACCGGUGGCGAAGGCGGCAACCUGGCUCAUGACUGACGCUGAGGCGCGAAAGCGUGGGGAGCAAGCAGGAUUAGAUACCCUGGUAGUCCACGCUGUAAACGAUGUGUGCUAGAUGUUGGGUAACUUUGUUAUUCAGUGUCGCAGUUAACGCGUUAAGCACACCGCCUGGGGAGUACGGCCGCAAGGUUGAAAC
rnacentral:rRNA from 1 species